rnacentral:rRNA from 1 species
GAUCAUGCUCAGGAUGAACGCUAGCUACAGGCUUAACACAUGCAAGUCGCGGGGCAGCAUGAAGGAUGCUUGCAUCCUUUGAUGGCGACCGGCGCACGGGUGAGUAACGCGUAUCCAACCUGCCUGUUACCACGGCACAGCCCGUCGAAAGGCGGAUUAAUGCCGUAUGUGGUCCUUUGCGGGCAUCUAAUUAGGACUAAAGGUUCGGCGGUAACGGAUGGGGAUGCGUCCGAUUAG